GGUUGAGAGAACUUACGCUACCACAAAAUUCUCUUUUAGUGACAAUAAUACAAGUGCCGCUAAUAUGCUUUAAACCUAAUUAUUUAGGGGUAAUUGACCUUUAGCCGUUAAAACUUAACUUUUUAACACACUUAAAAUAUCUAAUUAUAAUAAAGCAAAACACAAAAUUCUCAAAUUCCAAAAUUUUGGAUCUCAUUCUCCAUUCCCAUCUGAAGCGACAACUCCGAGACUUACAAAAUUGAUCUGAAGCUUCUUCUUGUUCUUCAUUUUCGACUUCGCUGUUUACAUCUCCGUAAUUCCUUCGUCCGCCAUGGAUUUCUAACCCUUUGACACCGCCUCAAGAAAAGUAAGAAAUAUCUUGAAAAAUCAUGGAGAAUUCUAGAAAUAGAAGAUGGAUGGAUUACAGUAGAGUCAGUAAAGAGUAUUUAGAUGGAGUAGAAAAUUUCCUAAACCAUGCAUUUCGUGAAAACCACAAUGGAGGAACAAUUUCAUGCCCUUGUACAAAAUGUGUGCUAUACUAUCAAGUAAACCGGGCAGUGGCAUAUGAUCAUCUCGUUGUUAAUGGUAUUAUGCCAUCAUAUAAUACUUGGUUUUGUCAUGGAGAGUCUCUCAAUGGAUCAACAAGUAUAUGAGAGAAUAAUGACAGACAAGAAGUUUUAAGGGGCACAGAUAUGAGAGAAAUGAUACAUGAUAUUUUUGAAAGCUUCAUCCAGUUCAAUGAUAACAUUAGUGAAAGGGAAGAGAUAGCGCCAAAUGUAGAGGAAACUGCUCCUCAUCCAUCAAGAAAUCAACCUCAUCCAGAGAUAGAUCAGUUUGAACAACUCAUGAGAGAUUCAAAUGAAGAACUUUACCUUGGGUGCAAAAAGUUCGGUAAACUAUUGUUUGUGCUUCAACUUUACCGCUUAAAACUAUUACUCAAAUGGUCGAAUCAGUCUUUUAAUGCCUUGCUUGGUUUAUUGAAGGAUGCAUUACCCGUAGGUGAGAAGUUGUCUUCUUCAUUUUAUGAGAGCAAGAAUAUUAUUGAGGGCUUGGGGUUAAAUUACAAAAAAAUUCAUGUUUGUCCCAACAAUUGCAUGCUUUUUAGGAAUGAAUUUGCUAAGAAAGAUGUCAAUGAAUGCUUAGUUUGUGGUGCUUCUAGAUGGAAAAACAGUGUCAAAAAGAUUCCAGCCAAGGUACUAAGGCACUUUCCUCUAAAACCAAGACUACGGAGAUUAUUUAUGUCUUCAAAAAUAGCUAAUUGAUGUGAUGGCAUCACGAAGAACGGAAUAAAGAUGGAGUUCUUCGACAUCCUGAAAUAUUCUGAAGCUUGGAAAGCUUUUGACAUCAGAUAUUCAGAAUUUGCUAAAGAUCCUCGCAAUGUUCGGUUAGGAUUGGCUAGUAAUGGUUUUAAUCCUUUUGGUACUAUGCGAAGUGUUUACAGUACAUGGCCGGUGAUUUUAACGCCAUAUAAUCUUCCACCGUGGUUGUGCAUGAAAGAAGAUUUCUUCAUUCUGUCCUUGCUCAUUCCUGGACCAAAAGGACCCGGAAAUAAUAUUGAUGUGUUUCUAGAACCUUUGAUAGAAGAGUUAAAUGAUUUGUGGUCUGUGGGGACAGAAACCAUUGAUUCCUUUUCUAAUGAGACAUUUCAAUUGCUA